rnacentral:rRNA from 1 species
CCUACGGGGGGCAGCAGUGAGGAAUAUUGGUCAAUGGACGAGAGUCUGAACCAGCCAAGUAGCGUGAAGGAUGACUGCCCUAUGGGUUGUAAACUUCUUUUAUAUGGGAAUAAAAUGUUCCACGUGUGGGAUUUUGUAUGUACCAUAUGAAUAAGGAUCGGCUAACUCCGUGCCAGCAGCCGCGGUAAUACGGAGGAUCCGAGCGUUAUCCGGAUUUAUUGGGUUUAAAGGGAGAGUAGGUGGAUUGUUAAGUCAGUUGUGAAAGUUUGCGGCUCAACCGUAAAAUUGCAGUUGAAACUGGCAGUCUUGAGUACAGUAGAGGUGGGCGGAAUUCGUGGUGUAGCGGUGAAAUGCUUAGAUAUCACGAAGAACUCCGAUUGCGAAGGCAGUUCACUGGACUGCAACUGACACUGAGGCUCGAAAGUGUGGGUAUCAAACAGGAUUAGAUACCCCUGUAGUC